GAUGAACGCUAGCUACAGGCUUAACACAUGCAAGUCGAGGGGAAACGAUAGAGAAAGCUUGCUUUUUCUAGGCGUCGACCGGCGCACGGGUGAGUAACGCGUAUCCAACCUGCCCAUCACUUGGGGAUAACCUUGCGAAAGUAAGACUAAUACCCAAUGACGUCUCUAGAAGACAUCUGAAAGAGAUUAAAGAUUUAUCGGUGGUGGAUGGGGAUGCGUCUGAUUAGCUUGUUGGCGGGGUAACGGCCCACCAAGGCGACGAUCAGUAGGGGUUCUGAGAGGAAGGUCCCCCACAUUGGAACUGAGACACGGUCCAAACUCCUACGGGAGGCAGCAGUGAGGAAUAUUGGUCAAUGGACGAGAGUCUGAACCAGCCAAGUAGCGUGCAGGAUGACGGCCCUAUGGGUUGUAAACUGCUUUUAUAAGGGAAUAAAGUCGGGUAUGCAUACUCGUUUGCAUGUACUUUAUGAAUAAGGAUCGGCUAACUCCGUGCCAGCCGCCGCCGUAA
rnacentral:rRNA from 1 species